rnacentral:rRNA from 1 species
AGAGUUUGAUCCUGGCUCAGAACGAACGUUGGCGGUGUGGAUUAGGCAUGCAAGUCGAGCGCGAAAACCUUCGGGUGAGUAAAGCGGCGAACGGGUGAGUAAUACGUAAUCAACCUACCCUCGAAACCGGAAUAACCACUGGAAACGGUGGGCAAUGCCGGAUGGUCUCGGCUGGGGGCAUCCCCGGUCGAGUAAACGGUGGCUCAGUCACUGUUCGGGGAGGGGAUUGCGGCCCAUCAGCUUGUUGGCGGGGUAAUGGCCCACCAAGGCUAUGACGGGUAGCCGGUCUGAGAGGACGAUCGGCCACACUGGGACUGAGAUACUGCCCAGACUCCUACGGGAGGCUGCAGUCGAGAAUCUUCCGCAAUGGGCGAAAGCCUGACGGAGCGACACCGCGUGCAGGACGAAGGCCUUCGGGUCGUAAACUGCUGUCACGCUCUAGGAACCCUGUGUGGCCAAAACCAUACAGCUGACCAAAGCGAGAGGAAGCACCGGCUAACUCCGUGCCAGCAGCCGCGGUAAGACGGAGGGUGCAAACGUUGUUCGGAAUCACUGGGCAUAAAGCGCACGUAGGCGGUUCAUUAAGUUCUGCGUGAAAUCCCCCGGCUCAACCGGGGAACUGCGUCGAAUACUGAUGAACUCGAGGACGGUUGGGGUGAGUGGAACUCCUGGUGGAGCGGUGAAAUGCGUAGAUAUCAGGAGGAACACCAGUGGCGAAAGCGGCUCACUGGACCGUAUCUGACGCUGAGGUGCGAAAGCUAGGGUAGCGAACGGGAUUAGAUACCCCGGUAGUCCUAGCCGUAAACGAUGGGCACUAGGUAGAGGGGAUGCCUAUGGUCUUCCCUGCCGAAGCAAAUGUGUUAAGUGCCCCGCCUGGGGAGUACGCUCGCAAGGGUAAAACUCAAAGGAAUUGACGGGGGCUCACACAAGCGGUGGAGCAUGUGGUUUAAUUCGAAGCAACGCGAAGAACCUUACCUGGCCUUGACAUCCAGGGAUUAGCCCCGUGAAAGCAGGGUUACACCUCUUCGGAGGCGGAACCUGGACAGGUGUUGCAUGGCUGUCGUCAGCUCGUGUCGUUAGAUGUUGGGUUAAGUCCCGUAACGAGCGCAACCCUUAUCGUUAGUUGCCAGCGCGUAAUGGCGGGGACUCUAGCGAGACUGCCGGUGUCAAACCGGAGGAAGGUGGGGACGACGUCAAGUCAUCAUGGCCCUUAUGGCCAGGGCGACACACGUGCUACAAUGGUCUGUACAGAGGGUACCGAUGCCGCAAGGUGGAGGCAAUCCCACAAAGCAGGCCCCAGUUCGGAUUGCAGGCUGCAAUUCGCCUGCAUGAAGCCGGAAUCGCUAGUAAUCGCGUAUCAGCCAUGACGCGGUGAAUAUGUUCCUGAGCCUUGUACACACUGCCCGUCAAGCCACGAAAGCGGGGAGCGCUCGAAGUCGCUAUGUCUAACCUUCGGGAGGACGGCGCCGAAAGCGAGAUCCGUGAUUGGGACUAAGUCGUAACAAGGUA